GAUGAACGCUGGCGGCGUGCUUAACACAUGCAAGUCGAACGGUGAAGGCGGAGCUUGCUCUGCUGGAUCAGUGGCGAACGGGCGAGUAACACGUGAGCAAUCUGCCCCUGACUCUGGGAUAAGCGCUGGAAACGGCGUCUAAUACUGGAUACGAGCUGCGAAGGCAUCUUCAGCAGCUGGAAAGAACUUCGGUCAGGGAUGAGCUCGCGGCCUAUCAGCUUGUUGGUGAGGUAACGGCUCACCAAGGCGUCGACGGGUAGCCGGCCUGAGAGGGUGACCGGCCACACUGGGACUGAGACACGGCCCAGACUCCUACGGGAGGCAGCAGUGGGGAAUAUUGCACAAUGGGCGAAAGCCUGAUGCAGCAACGCCGCGUGAGGGACGACGGCCUUCGGGUUGUAAACCUCUUUUAGCAGGGAAGAAGCGAAAGUGACGGUACCUGCAGAAAAAGCGCCGGCUAACUACGUG
rnacentral:rRNA from 1 species